rnacentral:lncRNA from 1 species
GGAGGAGAGGAGAGGAAGGAGAAGAAGAGAGGAGAAAAGAGAGGAAAAAAGAGAGAUUUCUUCUAGUUCCUCAAACAUUGGAGGCUCCUAGUCCUGUGCAUAGAGGAGGAGGGCCAGUUGAAAGCUUGCCUUUCAGUUAUUCUGCUGCUAAAUGAUAGUAUCCAGUGUGUUUCAGAGUAGUCUUCAUAAUAGGUGUUUUCCUUCUUUGUGUGCCAAAGCCUCUGCUUGCAACAAUUAGCUUAGCAUUGUGUAGGCAGGACAGAUCUCACACUCCCCAGGUAGAACAUUCCCAGAUAGCAAGCACAACAUAGGGCAGUUGUUUUAGUUGAGGGCUAUCUCCCAAGUGAGUUGGGAGGUGACCGCAGCACUGGGAUGAAUACAAGCAGAGAACUUGUUGCCCUACUUCAAGGCCUCCUGAGUGAGUAUUAAGCACCCUGCUGGAAGGAUGUCAUUGUGGGUAUGGUGUGUCCUGCUAGAACUUCAGAGUUUGUGGACUUGAGCAGUGAAGGACUGAGAGGCAUCUCAACAUUCUAUCUACCCAUUGACUUUAGUACCAGACCUAUCAAAGUCCAGGUUUGAAAUCUGGUUCUGACCCAAGAAUGGGGCUAGCUUGCCUUAUGCACUUCCCACACUGAACUAGCCUUCUGCCCCCUUGACCUUUUGGCUCAUUUGGUCCUUCUGCUUCUUAUAGCUGCCUCUAGACCAUCCUUUAUCCAGGAGCUAUGGCAGGCUAAAUUGGGGUUCCUCAGAUGGUGGCUAUUCCAUGAUAUGGUUUUUGAGGUGGCUCUGUUUUUACCAAUAGUUUUUCUCAAGAUGGCACCUAGCUGCUGCCCUCUGAGUGAUAUAGGGUGACAAAUUGGGAUUUUGCUUUGGUGCCACUGAACUGUGCCUCAGAGGAAUCACCACCUCACUGCAGCCUGCAGUGAGAUUUGAGGCUGCUAGCCUGAGAGUGGGACUUUCUGCCUCUUCCUUACCUGCUUUAAAUAUUAAGUGUAUGUUCUUUACUUUGUUGGGAGCUGCUACCAGAGUGGCUAUACACUUAUGCUAUCUAUCUAUCUAUCUAUCUAUCUGUCUGUCUGUCUGUCUGUCUGUCUGUCUAUCUAUCUAUCUAUCUAUCUAUCUAUCUAUCUAUCUAUCUAUCUAUCUAUCUAUCUAUCUUAUCUAUCUAUCUACCUAUCUAUCUACCUAUCCAUCCAUUUAAUAUUUAUAUAAAAGAUACAGUUGCUUCAUUCCUGCUCUACAUUUGGUGAUAUCAGUAUUUUUAAAUUUUAGACAUUUUGAUAGGUGUGUGUUUCUCCCUAUGGCUUUUAUUUGUUUCAAUCCUAGUUUUUAUUAAUAUUGAACAUCUGUUUUAUUCUUUUACAAUUACACACACACACAUGCAUGCACAUACAGUGAUCAUACUUACCUCUUGUGUAACCUCCUUCCAUUCCUAAAGAAUCCUUUCUUUUCAACAAGCCCCUAUCUACUGUUAGCUCUUUCUCUGUGUGAGACCUACUGAGUACAAUUGCUUGUAUGAAUAUCAGUGGGUUUGUUUUUUAUUUUUCACAUUUUAUUUUGUGUAUGUAGGGGUGGAGUUAGUGCACACCACAGCAGACUUGUCAAGGUCAGAGGGCACCUGUGGGAAUUCAUUCUUUCUUUCCACCAUAUGGGUUCCAAGGAUGGAAUCAGGUCAGCAGGCUUGAUAGCAAACAUCUUUACCUGCUAAGCUAUCUUGCUUUUCUGAAGUUACAAUUUGCUAUUUUUUUUUCCUAGUAUUAUUUCAGGUUGUUGAACUCAAAUUUUUAAUUUCAAGAGUUUUAAUUUCAAUGUGAGAGCUCCUUGGGGGCUAAAACAAUCUCAGCAGUUAAGGGUACUGUCACUCUUGCUGAGGACCUGGUUUCAGUUCCCAAAACCCAUAGCUGCUCACCAUGUCUGAACUCCAGUUCCAGGGUAUCGGACAUUUUCUUCUGGUCUCCAUAUAUACCAUAUACAGAGAGUACACUUACAUACAGGUAAAACACUCACAUGCAUAAGACAAACAUAAAUAAAUACUAAAAACUGAAUUUAAGAUUCCUUGGGGUGUUGUACAUAAACAAUAGGAACACUUAACUUUCUUUCCAUCAUGUAUGUGUUUUGCUUUUUUUUCUUGUCUUAUUGCCAUGGCUAAGAUCUUGCUCCUGAUGUGGGUACCACCUUUUUCUUUUAUCAUUUAAGUUAAAUGCAAACUCUAGGACUAUAGAACAAUAAAAAUAGAUGCUUUGUAAAAUGUUUCCUUGCAUUUGUUGAGUGUUCAUCAUAGAUAGGUGUAAACUGCUUCAUCUGCCUCAGCCACUAUGAUUGUGUGACUGUACUUUUGUAUAUAAUAUGAUUUUAUUUGCUAGUAUUCAUUGAGAUUUGUAAGUUUGCUCUUUAGACAAAUUUAUCUGUAAACGUCUUUGGUUCUUAGAGUGCUUCUAGCUUUGUAAAAUUAGUUGUGAAGUAUCCUGCAUUGUUGUUAGGGCUUGUCUUCCUUUAUUGUUUCUUUUCUCUCUCUCUCUCUUUCUCUCUUUCUCUCUCUCUCUCUCUCUCUCUCUCUCUCUCUCUCCUUAAUUUUUUCAUAUAUUUGACCAUAUUCCCUUCCCCCAACUGCUCUGAUAUUGCCCCCACCUCACUACUUCAUAUUCUUUCUCUCUCUCAAAUAAAUAAAU